rnacentral:rRNA from 1 species
GUCAGUGGCCAUGCCACCCUGAACGUGCCUGAUCUCGUUUGAUCUUGGAAGCUAAGCAGGGUCGGGCCUGGUUAGUACUUGGAUGGCAGACCACCUAGGACUACCAUGUGCUGUAGGUG